GACGAACGCUGGCGGCGUGCUUAACACAUGCAAGUCGAACGGAAAGGCCCUGCUUUUGUGGGGUGCUCGAGUGGCGAACGGGUGAGUAACACGUGAGUAACCUGCCCUUGACUUUGGGAUAACUUCAGGAAACUGGGGCUAAUACCGGAUAGGAGCUCCUGCUGCAUGGUGGGGGUUGGAAAGUUUCGGCGGUUGGGGAUGGACUCGCGGCUUAUCAGCUUGUUGGUGGGGUAGUGGCUUACCAAGGCUUUGACGGGUAGCCGGCCUGAGAGGGUGACCGGCCACAUUGGUACUGAGAUACGGCCAAGACUACUACGGGAGGCAGCAGUGGGGAAUAUUGAACAAUGGGCGGAAGCCUGAUGCAGCAACGCCGCGUGCGGGAUGACGGCCUUCGGGUUGUAAACCGCUUUCGCCUGUGACGAAGCGUGAGUGACGGUAAUGGGUAAAGAAGCACCGGCUAACUACGUG
rnacentral:rRNA from 1 species